AUUCCGCUUGUCGGCGCUCCCCUGGGGGGCGCGGCCAGAGCGUUGGCGCAUGGCGUCAGGGUUCUGGAAGACGGCGUGAACUAUGCAACAGGGAAUCUUCCCGGUUGCUCUUU
rfam:Hepacivirus hominis isolate 10588 polyprotein gene, complete cds